rnacentral:rRNA from 1 species
AUGGAGAUCAUAGUCCGUGUCGGUUUCCCCACCACCCUCGUCCGCGCCGCCCUAGUCUGCAGGCGCUGGCUCCGCCACGCCUCGGACCUCGCCUUCCUCCGCAGGUUCCGCAAUCUCCAGGCGCCCCGCCUCCUCGGCUUCUACGUCCACGCCAUGUUGAAUCAGUCGGACCCAACUCCCCCACUCUUCAUCACAAUGCUGCCACAGUCCCACAAACUAAGCACUGUCAUUCACCGAGUAAACAUCAGCUUGGAAGCCUACAAGGGCAAGAAUAUCUACAUCACAGACUGCCGGCACGGAAACGUUUUCAUCCACUUGUAUGACGGCAGGACAUCCACAUACACAAAAGUAGUGCAUAAACCACUCUGCUCUAAUACCCCGCAAAAAAAAAAAACCACUCUGCUCUAA